GUGGGUGAAAAUCUGGGAGACACAAUGGAAGGAAAACAGAGAGACAGUAUGCAUGUGCUUGAGUUAGGACAGAGCAGAAAAAACAAUGAAAUAAAAAUAAGGGAAACCCAGGAAAUUUAAAAUACAAAAAAAAGAAGGAAGGAUUGAAAGAGGAAAAAUGGGAACUAUCUUGCCACGUUCCCAUAAUGAAAUGCAUUUAGUCAUUUCUCUACCUGUGCCAUAUCAUGCUUCCCCAGCAGAUGUUCUUGUGAGGGAAUUGUGCCUUACACUUGGGACACAUGGGCUGGAGACUCUCUGAGGAGCAAGAGGCAACGGGAGCAGAUCUAUGACAAAGGCUGAGAACUGUGCCCAGGCAGUGAACCCCUCACUGCACAUCCUUGCACUGGAGAUGGAUCAACAAACAGCAAAUUAGCAGCGAGUAAUAUGUUCACAUCAAAACUGGCAAACAUAUUGGCACAGCCAAGAACUUCUAACAGGAAAUGCUGAUGUUUUUUCUGGAGUGGACACCAUGUGCCAUCCACUCAGUGCAAGACCAAAUGCCCUCUCUUCUAGGCCACUUCCUCCUUUCUCUCCUGUUUGCAGUGAAGUGAACCUGCAUGGGCUGACUUACAUCUGUACAGCUGGGACUGUGCUGUGAUGAGCUGAACAACAGCACAUGUUUUCCCAGUGCUUGUCCCCAUUCCUCUGUUGUAAAAUAACCUUAUUUCCUUCAGUAAAGCUAUAAACUCAAGGGUGUGGUGGGCCUUGAUUUGGCAGUGCUUUCUGCCUCCCACACCUCUCUGGUAAAAACAUUCACAUGAGGGCAGAUAAUUUGAAGAGAACAAAAAUGGAAGAAUCACAUUCUUUAAAAAGGAUGUAAUUUCUCCAUGGCAGUGUCCCACUGCUUUCCAUUUUUUCCUUCAACCAUGCAAUCAUUUUGAAAAGGCAUCAUUUAAAACAAUCAAAUUCUCAGAAGAAAUUUUUUUUGCAACACCCCUUUUCAGAGAGGUUUGCACACAAAGUGAGAAUUUUCAGGUUUCCCAGGCAAAUGAACCUUGUCCACUUGGGCAGAAGCUCAUGAUAGCUUACAUUAUUUAGCACAGCAUUAUUCCAUGCUGUUUACUUAUAGCUCGCUGAAAAUAAGAGAUGAUGGAACACCUUUUCCAGGGCACACCCUGAAUUUAUUCUUAGUAAAUUGUUUACUAUGUUCUUGGCCUAGAAACUCACAAUUCUCUGAGCACUUUUUAAAAACUACUUGCCCACUUUCAACUGUGGGGACACAGUAACAACAACCCCUUCAGUACCUCCACUGCUGAGCAAAGGGGGCAACAUCAGAAGACAGCCUGGCCACCUCCCAGGAGACAGAGCUGCUGCAAUGGGAGAGCAUGGAUUUGUCAAAUGCAGAGAAUGAGCUUUGGGGAUGAGGGAAUCCUCUAAUAAAAUAAACAGAAAAUUAAAUUCACCUCCCUUUUCCUCUCACAUGGCUCCCAUCUAUGCUUGCCUGGAAGAGAACAAGGUGGUGCCUAGACAUUAGCACUGAAAACACCACAACUCAUUGACAAACACACGGGUCACGUUUCUCCUCUGGCUCGACUCGAGGGAAUCAUCUCUUUUCUCCUGCAGAAGUUAAUGCUGCAUCCUGGUGACUAGCACAGGUACCAUCAGUGCCAGAAUGUGUGUCCUUGUCACCACACUUAUAUCACCACAGCCCGUGACUACUUGCACACAGACAGGAACAUGGCUCACGGGAAGCACUUGAGCUGUGCAGGAGUUUGGACUAUGGCCACGUGGAGUAGAUGGUGUCUACUAACCCCAGAGAGGUUCUGCAGAGACUAAAGACGUAUCAGAAAUGAGACCCAUGUCAUGCUACUACCAUGAUGCAUUUCUCCACGUGCACAUAGAAAAAUUAAUAAAGCAUCUUCUAUCAUCCUUCCAAACCCAUCUGAACAACAGCAUUAAAUAUGCCAUAAAACACAGAUAGCGCUCCUUAAAUUAAGUGGAAACUUUGAAUUUCACAGGGACUACUUUCGUAACUCUCUUCUACAAAUUAAGAAGCUUGACUAUCCAGAAUUAAAAAAAGUGCUAGAAAAAAAAUCCAUUUUAUAUUCACAUGCGUAUGUAUUUUUAGUGCAUGCAUGCAGCCAACCCUGUGCCUGUGUGUGUGUUUCUCUGAACAGCACUUGGUCACUUACACAGAAAAAUUGAAUGUAUUUAAAAAAGGUGCAGCUUCUUCCUGCUCCAAACAAAGUCCAUGGGCAAUGCUGCUCUUUUUUGGUUAUAUUUACAAAUGGAAAUGGAUUAUAUUUACAAACAGAAAGAGCGUUGUGUUAUUUCAGACCAAGUUUGGCUGCUGCAGUGCUCCUCUCUGAACUUUGGUAAGUCUACAUUCUGUGUUUUCCCCCAGACUACAUAUCACGUCUGCAGUACCACAAAUCUGCCAACCUUUCCUACAAUUUCAACUGCUAAUUAGGCUUCAUUGGGGUCUCACUCUCGUACUCCCUGUGUUAGAUAAACACAGUGUUAACUAAGCAUGCUGCAAGCACUAGUACCUGCAUAACUGCUUAUCAGGGCACGUCCACUGGUCAUGCUAAACCUGGGAUGACAACACUGGGAACAUUUUGACAAAACACGCUUCUGUGGAC